CAAUAAGUGAUUUUCCUAUUUUUUUCCUAGGGGAAUGCUGAUUAUCAGUGGUGACUGCGAUAGAAUGGAGAUCAAUAAAGUAUAUUUUUUCUGCAAGUUAAAAAAAAAAAAGCAUGGCUACCCAAGAUCAAAAUUUCAAUCCAUAUUUAGGCAUCCAAAAAUGAUCUACUGUUUUAGAAGUAAUGAUUUCAGUGAGCAAGAUUGUCUCCAGAAUGGGCUUUCUGAGAUAUCUCCAACUUAGUUCCUUCCCAUCCCUAGUUUCACAUCAUGGGCAUUACUCAACUUAAUUGAAAAAUAUCAAAGCUAUUAUUUCAAGUGGGUAUAAAUUUAUGAAUAAUAAAUUAGACUUAGUAAAUGUUGCCAGUUCGUUAAGGUGUAUUUUCUGUACUUUUUUCCUAUGGCAUCUUUCAUUUAAUUUCCAGGGAGAAUCCUUCUGUUGUCUUCUAAAUCAGUGUUUUUCUUUUGGUAAAAAGACGCAAGGAUAUGCCUCAGUCUAUGUGUGCAGAAAAAGACAUCCAGGGCUUCUCUUUCAUCAUCUUAAGAGAGAUGCACGAAGUCAAAAUUGCCCAUUGUGGGAGCCUCAUUUUCUGAGGAAACAAGACAUGCAUAGUUUCCCAGGGAAUAUGUGUUUGUCUGCCUCAACCAAAUCUGACAGGUCUGAAAUUGUAAAGUCCAUCAAGUUUGCUGAAACUAGGCAUCUGGGAAGUGGUGAAAGACUCUGUUAAUGAUCCGCAAGAGACAGACUGCAUUGCAAGUUCAGCUAAGACUGCAUCCCAGAGAAUUCACACAGGAGAAGCUAAUUAGAAAGACCUAUCACAGAAGAAGCCUUACUUGCUGAUGAAACUUAAAUCCAAGUCAAACCAGGAGACGUUAGUUCUACUUCUCAUGAAACUACCCAUUAUUUUAUCAUGUAAGUAAUGUAUCUUACUGUUCCAAAUAACGUUGUGUGGGUGAUCAAUAAGGAGUAUUAUCCUUAGUUCUACCAUAGACUUUGUUACAUGGCAAAUAAUUUAAAGAUGAUCUAAAAUGUGAAAGAAUAUAUCUUCUGCUUCCUUUCUUAUCAAGAACACUAUACUAAGAGGAAACAUUUGACUAUAGGGUGCAGUCCCUGCAAAUGCUGGAGAUCACACCGUGUAAUACUCUUAAGUGACUGGCCAAGCUCCA
rnacentral:lncRNA from 1 species